CAACCAACCAAAAACUGAAAAAGGAAAUGAAAUGAAAAACGCGAUGAUCAUAUAUAAUAAUUUGAUUCAGCUCUUAACUCCAAUAAUUUGGCCGACGCUUUCCCCAGCAGAAAAGUGCGGGGAGAAUCGUAUGAACUGACAGAUGCCGCAAGAAUCAGUAGUCAGAUGCAGGAAUAAAUAAAUAGGUUUUGCGAAGGAAGAGGUGAAAAGGCAAAUCAGAAAGAUGCGUGUGCGAUGGUGACCCACUCAUUCACUGGUAUUGAUUGAGAAGAGAAGCAUAGGAAAAAUGUGCGUAUGAUUUGCAAUUAAUUUGGAAGGUGGAAGUGGAAGGAUGCAUCUGAUCCAACUUUGGCACAUUCCUAUAACAACAGCAUUAACAUUAAGAUGAGGUGAGUGGAAAGAAAAGAAGAUCUUCUCUCUCAUCUCUCAUUUCUUAUUACUUUAAACCCUAAAAGGCUGCAUUGCAUAUUCUCCCUCUCUUUUUUCACUUUCUUUUUUCUUUCGACAGAAUAUGGUCCUCAAGAAAAUAGUGCGCUCCUGCAUAUAAUAAGAUUGCCAUUAAAUAACUUAUCUGAGGAUUUUUUAUAUUCUUAUAGUUUUUCUCUUUGAUGUGCUAUUCAUAUCUGAAGAAAAAAAAUAUUUUGUAUUCGUC
rnacentral:sRNA from 1 species